GAAAACUUCUAAGAAAUUCCUGUAGGAGACCAGGAAGAACAUCUCGAAGAUAGUUCAAGACAUCUCUUGAGGAACUCUUGCAGUAAAUUCGUGAAAACUCCUUCAGAAACCCUUGGAGGAACUUUAGUAGAAACCCCAGGAAUAACUCCUUUAGCAACUCUGAAAGAAAUUCUGGAAAGAUCUUCUGGGGAAGUCCCAAGAGGAACACCGCAAGGAAUCGCGUAAAAGUUCCAUGAGGAAUUCCGAAAUUAAUUCCACGAUUACGACCCAAUAUUUUUUUUAUCGGAGUAAAAUUUCCCUGAGUACUCAAGAUAUUCCCUGAGUAUUCCAGGUUUUUCCCUGUUUAACCCUUAUGUUGCCGGCAGGGUACCCGGGUACCCAGCACCCAUUUAAAAUACACGGUGUAGAAAAAAGCAAAAACGGUUAAUAAAACUCCCUGAGGAUUCCCGGUUUUUCAGGUUUUUCCAGGUAAUAGACACCCUGGCUAGGUUUCCUAUUCACAUGGGACUGUUGUGCGAAUGGGGAAAGUGUGUACAACUCGUCUAAAAUUGAUGAACCAAAAAAGUUGUACUAAUCAUUGUAACAUUAUAAGACGAAGGAAAAACCUUUGAUAAAAAAGGAAAUAAUUAUUUAUGUAACGAGAUUAGAUAUUCCAUUCAGGACUGUAAGUAUCGCUUGGUGCGGCUAAAAGGCUUUCCAUCCGUAACCAUCCGGGUCGGUUUGCAACAGUGUCUUCCUGGAUGUCGCAUCAUCUAUGCACGUCUAAAAAACUGCUUCAGAAGGAUAGUGUUCUAUAGAACAGGCCUAGUUUACCCCACGUCUCCACCAGACAGAAAUGCAUUGUAAUUUUGCUGCCAGAAAGAGAGAACAUCACAGAACUAUUCAUGCAAAUGGGGAAGCGAAUGCAGAGAAAGUUUCCCUACAUGUUGUUUCUAAGAAGGAAUGAACAUUCAUGGUGCUAACAGUGUCGGUGAGAAGGAAGGGUAUUUUUGAAAAUGCCCACAAGACAUGACUGAGGGCAAACAUGACUAUCAUGGCCCUGUAGCAUAAUCGGGCUAAUAAUAUUAGCUACAAGUUACAAGUACUAAUAUUACAAGUGCUAAUAAUUUGUGUUGCAUAAAGGCUCAAUUUUCCACUAAUAUUAUUAGCACUUGUAAUAUUAGUGACCAUGAAAAUACAAGUUGUUUUGGUUCAUUUAUCUGUCAAAAUUCAUCCGACAGUUCACUAUUACUUUGAAAUGGCAGUUGAUGUUUGUUUAUAUUCUGCAUUUUCCGCGUAACAUCCGGAAAUAACUUCAUUUUUUCCGAAGUUUUGCAUUUUUAUACGAUAGAUGAAAAAAAGCAUGUGCUGUUUGGAUAAUUUUCGGCCGCUCUGACGAAAUAUUUUUUUACAAAGUAUGGCACUGCAAGUACCUAGAUUUUAAGUGAAAUGUCCCAAAGAUUUAAAAGUACUGGUUGAAAAACAAUGUAUAAAGAUUUAGCAACAUGUAUUAUGCUUCUUGUUAAAGUCCGAAGUGAUCUGGGAUGCAAAAAUUGAGCUUUUACCUACUUUUAUAUGUCGCAACUCGAUUCGAGUUAGUGUAUGUAUAUUGUAGCUCUUGAUUAGCUUGAUGAUGCGCAAUACAAGCAAUUGAUUCAAAUUUAUUUUGCAUCUGCAACUUUACCUGUGCUUAUGCAGUGACCAUAACAUAUAACUUUACCAAGAACCUCCAAUCAAAGAUGGGUAUUGUAGAAACUUUGGAGAACUUAAGAGACUCAGCAGAAAUUAUAUUUUGGACACAAAGUGUACAUCAGCGUAAUUUUCUCUUCAAUGAGUUUCGAAUACAUACUGCCAAAUUUAAUCGUCGAAAAUAGAAAUUAAGGUUGAUAUGUUAAAUAAAUAAUAUCUUUUGAGUUCAUCUAAAUGGUAAAUCGAUAUAUUCAAAACUAAAUAUGACUUCUACAAUACUUUAAAUCUAACUUGUAAAUUAUUUUACAAGACCUUUGAGACUUGUAAUCAAAAGUACAAGUCAUAGCUAAUAUUUUAUACUUGUAGUUUGUUUAUGCAACAUACACCCUUAAUUUCUACUAAUAAUAUUAGUCCAACCGACUUGUAGUAUUGGACUUGUAACUUGUACUUGUAGUAUUUUUAUGCAACAGAAAAUUAUAAGUUACAAGCUACAAGACUAAUAUUAUUAGUAAAAUUUUCAUUAUGCUACAGGCCCCAUGUUAUCCUUCAUUUGGGACAUUUGUGCCAUUGUCAUAUAUACGAUAUAUGAGAUUAUCUCAUCUCAUGGCAUAAAAACAUUUAGCAUAAAGGACAGUUUGUUGUCCAACUAGAGCUGAUCGUCCAUACCUACCACAACGGGUUUAAUCAGUGUAUUAUAAAAGGCACUGUAAGUAAUACGCAUAGGCGUAAAAGUAUUAUUAUUAGAAGCCAGAUAACAUAUCUACGGGAGGUAAACUACAGAAUUUUGAUUAGAACUACUUAAACACAUGGUAAAGUGGGGAACAACCGUCUACACUUAGGUCUUUGUAGAGGUGCAAUUCGAACAACAGGUACAGUCUGGACAAAUAUGCUGUCACGCAGCCACAAAGCUUCAACUGAAAAUGAUUCAAAAUUGAUUGAACUUACAGCGGAAAAAUGCCCAAAAUAGAAGUUCUGUUGAGAUGGUUCCACUUCCCUAUAUUAUUAUCAGAUCUUUUAAAUACUCAAUAACUCAAAUAACAUUUUGCCCCCGAUCAUCCAGUGAGUUAUUUUCAAUGACGCCGCAUAAUGUUUUGACCGAAAUUUAGAAUCGAUGGCAUCGCUAUUAUAAACAAAAUCAGAAUCUGUUUCAGCAGUGUAGUUUUUUCUGCCAAUGCAUCUGUUAGCUUCACUGAUCGCAUCAAAGCACUUCCACAAGAUCACAGAUUCACUUGUCUCAUUUCAGGCUAGCUGUUGCUUACAACACCGAUAUGCUGGAAAACAUCUCGGAACAGAAACACAAAUCUGCUGAAAAAGGGUGCUCCCACUGUGGCAAACCAGCAGAAAAGAAGUGUUCCAAAUGCGUUUCUGCUUUCUACUGUUCUCGCGACUGUCAGGUUGCCGACUGGACCAAACACAAGGAGAUGUGUCAUCACUUGAAAACACUUUAAAUCGCUUACUCUUAGGAAUUACUGGAUUUUCACGUUAUGUAUUCUUCAAUAAACAUUCUUGCGAUCCCUCA